UUAAAUUUAUCCUGAUUCACCAUCAUAUCUGAUGUUGAUUAGAUUCUCUCUUUAGUUCCUGAUUUAUUGAACGUCGAAUUUCAUUCCCUAUAUAAAUUGAAGUCACUAAAAGUUGAAGUAGACUUGUUACACCCAUCCAUACCUCAUGGAGUAAUUAAAUUUUUGAUUCAAAACUCACCAUCAGCAAAGGUUGAGUUCAUAUCAGACAUUGAUUAAGCUUUCACAGGAGCUUCAGAAUUAUGAAGUUGGCGAAGAAGAUGAAAAAGUGGACUACAAAGUUGAGAACAACGAGUGGAAGAAAAGAGCAGUAAUCUAUUCGUUAUUUCCUGUUUUUUCUUCAUAUUAGGAUUCUGAUUUGCUUCUCAAGUCCUAUAUUUUGAAUUGCAUGUUUGGAAUUUCAUGAACUUUUAUUUUGAA